ACAUAUAGGGUGUUGGCGGGGACUAGGCUGGACGAGUAUGGGAUGGGGUUCGGUUCUAUGAGUACUCCACGUUGUUACAGCGGCAAUCUUUGUGCGACUAGCGGCGGCACGGGCCGAGCACAGUGCUCACAGCUGGCCGGCCAACGCCGGCAGAGCACUCCGAGUGGCCGAGCGUCGUUUCGGGAUCGCCUUCGGGCGUCCUCGAGAAGCCGCGGGAGGGGCAGAGGCUGGAGCUGGAGCUGAAGCUGAAACUGAGGCUGGGCCUUAUUUAGAAUUUAUUAAGCUGCCGCUGGAUGCUGCUGCUGCGGCUGCUGCUGCUGCUGCUGCGACGACAACUUGAUAACCUGUUCUGAACCCCGCGACGCUGUUGCACAAUAAAUAAAUAAAGAAUUUGUGUAGCUUUUUAAUUGAUUUCGCGGCGCGACAAGACGAGCGGCGACGCAAAUUAUGGCUGGAUUCUUCGCAGAAAUUGAUGCCAAUAAAAGCACACACCACCACAGAACACAACGAUCCGGCAAACUAUUUGAAAGCGAAACAUAAACAAACAAA
rnacentral:sRNA from 1 species